CACUUUAUAGCUUGCAGACGAUUCUCAAAAACAAACGUUUCUACGCACAUUCAGCGAGGCUGCAUUACAAUCACCCAAGAGCCCAUUUUCUGACAUUAUUGACAGCAUUUCGCAAACAUUACCUCCACUUUGACUUCCAUCGAGAAUAUCUUGAACUAGCGCUUGUUACAUAGCCGAGAAUAUUGUAUGAUACAUGUUAACUGUUGUUGCAAAACAACUUAGUGAGAUCAAUUUAUGAAGAUUCGCUGUUAUAUUUAUUUAUGUAUAUAGACUGUACUAUUUUAUCGUAAAGUAAUGGCAUAAAACAUAUUUUUUCUGUUGAAAAA